UACGAAGGGGGCUAGCGUUGUUCGGAAUUACUGGGCGUAAAGCGCGCGCAGGCGGUCUUCCAAGUCAGUGGUGAAAGCCCGGAGCUCAACUCCGGAACUGCCAUUGAAACUGUUGGACUUGAGUACGAGAGAGGUGAGUGGAAUUCCCAGUGUAGAGGUGAAAUUCGUAGAUAUUGGGAAGAACACCGGUGGCGAAGGCGGCGACCUGGUCCUUGACUGACGCUGAGGCGCGAAAGCGUGGGGAGCAAACAGG
rnacentral:rRNA from 1 species